GGUAAACCCCAUCCGGAGCAAGGCCAAAUAGGGGAGCGAUAGCGUGGCUCGCGCUGUUCCCGGGUAGGCCGCCAGAGCGUUCGGGCAACUGGACGCCUAGAGGAAUGACUGCCCACGACAGAACCCGGCUUAUCGGCCAGCUUCCUUU
rnacentral:RNase_P_RNA from 1 species